CAGAUAAAUUAUAGCAGCUGAUUGUAACUGACAAUGACAGCAGCAGAACACUUGAUAAUUAGACACCAGACACCUGAUGGUUAAAAACACUCCACAGCCGAUUAUAAUACACUGAACAACGAUAGCAAGACAACUGAAAGCAACUACUCUCCAAUGCCCGGAUUAUAUUAUUGUCUUGUGAUGACGUUGAUGCUGAUGAUGAUCUGUGUCUGAUACUUCAAUAGAGGGCGUGAUUGAAAAUAUUUGCCUUUUUUAUCAUAUGCACUUGCAGAAAAUGCGCGCGCAAAUAUUGGAAAUUUUAAAUUUAAAUGGCGGGAAAAUAAUCUAUUAUUAGAUAGUAAUGACUUUGGUGUAAAAAUAAUAGAGAUUAAAAUAAAGUUGAAGAGCAACUAUUGUUCGGGCGCGUUCAGGGCGGCCCCUUGCACAAGAAAAAUGAUGACAGCAAUUAAGGGAAGCCAUGGAGUCUUAGCAGG